rnacentral:rRNA from 1 species
GCCAUCAGGUUAAGCUGGGGACUCUAAAGGAACUGCCUACGCAAGUAGUGAGGAAGGCGGGGAGUGACGUCAAAUCAGCACGGCCCUUACGUCCAGGGCUACGACACGUGCUACAAUGGCCGAUACAGAGGGCAGCUACCUGGUGACAGGAUGCAAAUCUCCAAAGUCGGUCUCAGUUCGGAUCGGAGUCUGCAACCCGACUCCGUGAAGUUGGAUUCGCUAGUAAUCGCGCAUCAGCCAUGGCGCGGUGAAUACGUUCCCGGGCCUU